rnacentral:rRNA from 1 species
CCUACGGGAGGCAGCAGUGAGGAAUAUUGGUCAAUGGACGAGAGUCUGAACCAGCCAAGUAGCGUGAAGGAUGACUGCCCUAUGGGUUGUAACUUCUUUUAUAUGGGAAUAAAACGUUCCACGUGUGGGAUUUUGUAUGUACCAUAUGAAUAAGGAACGGCCAACUUCGUGCCAGCAGCCGCGGUAAUACGGAGGAUCCGAGCGUUAUCCGGAUUUAUUGGGUUUAAAGUGAGCGUAGGUGGAUUGUUAAGGGAGUUGUGAAAGUUUGCGGCUCAACCGUAAAAUUGCAGUUGAAACUGGCAGUCGUGAGUACAGUAGAGGUAGGCGGAAUGCGUGGUGUAGCGGUGAAAUGCUUAGAUAUCACGAAGAACUCCGAUUGCGAAGGCAGUUCACUGGACUGCAACUGACACUGAGGCUCGAAAGUGUGGGUAUCAAACAGGAUUAGAUACCCUUGUAGUC